CUUCCUUAACUCGAACAACCAACAAGACUCGCUGCCACAGACUACAAUGAUCCGAGUUCUCGUAAAAUGUUGCAUCUGGUUCCUCAUGGUCUCAGCAGCGAUGGGUUUUUUUCUGUUCCCUCGCAUCCAGAGCCGACCUCCUCCUGUAGGACAACUUGAGAACUGCCCUCACUGGUGCCACAUCAACCAUGAAGGCCGACCCUACUACUACUGCUGCGACGUCAGGGAAAAGUCUGGGUUCUGCCCAGAAAUCAAACCUCAAACCCGCCCUUGGGCAUGUCCAGACGACUACACCCCAAAGCAGUGUUAUUAUGACACCAAUUGUAGGGGCACCAAGAAAUGCUGCUCAGACAGGUGUCUCAGUUACAAGGUUUGCAAAGCGAGUACCAACAACUGGCAAGAAUAAUCAAUUAAAUUGCAAAUUUGCUAUAUUCACUUUUCAAAAUAUGUCAUAAGUUGCUGUGUUUAUUCUACGAAUCCGAAGACUGCAAUGUAGUAAAUAAUGAUCGAGAGCAUUGUAGGACCUUCUUACGCAUAACAGGUAUCGUAAUCUGCAUCAUCAUCACAUUCGUGACCUUAUGACCCUGUGAAAAGUUUAGGAUACUGUCAUCCACGGUUACGCUGAAGUGCCGCUUUCGCCUGCCUCCGUCGCCAACGUUGAACGAGUUCCGUGCAUCUGCUCUCCUUUGUGCCAGCCGAUGCAGGAUGCCGUUGCUUCCCAGUUUCUGAUAAUAGUGGGCCACAACCGGAUAAUCCAAGAUUUUGCUCAAAAACGCAUCCAGUCGUCUAUUGAAUGUUGUAUGUAUGAACUCCCUUCGUCAAAGCUGCUCUAGCUAGACGUCGAACAGACUCGAACCGUUUACGAAAAGAGACCGCUCUCGAAGAGUCUGAACUCUGGCUACAGAUCGGUUAUUAAAUGUAUGUAUCCUGUUCAGUCUCCUCCUUUCAUUGUGAUAUGUCGCUCUUCUGAAGGUCUCAAUUUCGAAGUUUGGCGCCAGUUCGAUUAUCUUCUUCCAAGUAUGCAGUGUGAUAUACCUAUUUCUUCUCCUCUCCAUUCAAUAUAGUUCCAGGUGUUUCAAUCGGUCCCAGUAGUCCAGGUCUCCCCCUACUGAUCCUGGACAUAGAGGUCCGUUGGACUGCCUUCAAUAGCUUGGCCACGUCCUCUUCUGGUGGCGCCGAGAGCUUGCAGCAGCACUCAUGAAUGUGGAGCACGAGAGCUCUAAGGAGUGUAAUCAUUGGCUCCGCUUCUCUCGUUCGAAAUGUACACCAGAUCAACACAUCUGUUGUUAGCCUUUUGCAACUAUUGCAGCGAUGGGAUCAUCAAACGUUGCUUCAGUACUCAUUAACAACGAAUUGCACCUCUAACGAUUUGCUUCUCGAUUUCUGUGCCGUCCGAUGUAAAGUAGCGGUGCGAGUCCCGACCUCUGUGCCAACUCUGUACCUCAUUAUUCGUACUUGUGCUGUUGAAUUGCUCAUUAUUCACUUUAUUAUUCAUCAUACCUAACUUCCGUCAUCACUAACCUCCAUCGUGGCCUGAGACUGCUACGUCCCAAACAAGUACCAAGAUUACCAAGUGCCGAAUCAAUCGUCUGUUACAUUGUAGAAAUCUUGCAACCCAUCAAUCAAAUACUACGCCAUAUGUUUCCAGUAAAAUUCCGAGCGAUGGCUCGCUACCUACGUAUACUUGUCUCGCUCGAUGUCGUCUCACUCGAUGUAUUGCCUUGUAAAGAGCUUUUAUUAAAUCACUGCAGUUAUACCUUACAACGUACCCUUGUGCGAUUGGUGAUGUAGGAACAUUUCAAUGCUUUCUAAGUCUAUGAAUUCGCAGUG